rnacentral:rRNA from 1 species
UCGAGGAUCUUCGGCAAUGGGCGCAAGCCUGACCGAGCGACGCCGCGUGUGCGAUGAAGGCCUUCGGGUUGUAAAGCACUGUCGAGGGGGAGAAAGCCCGCAAGGGUUGAUCGACCCCUGGAGGAAGCACGGGCUAAGUUCGUGCCAGCAGCCGCGGUAAGACGAACCGUGCAAACGUUGUUCGGAAUCACUGGGCUUAAAGGGCGCGUAGGCGGGUCAUCCAGUCCGUGGUGAAAGCCCCCAGCUCAACUGGGGAAGUGCCGUGGAUACUGAUGAUCUUGAGGGAGGUAGGGGCAUGUGGAACUUCCGGUGGAGCGGUGAAAUGCGUAGAUAUCGGAAGGAACGCCGGUGGCGAAAGCGACGUGCUGGACCUCUUCUGACGCUGAGGCGCGAAAGCUAGGGGAGCAAACGGGAUUAGAUACCCCCGUAGUCC